AGUGCGCGCCAAGUAACAGGUGCCCUGCGUCGCGUAUUUAGUGACAAAGAGUUAAACGGGAAGUCUGGUGCGCGACCGCUUUUUAAGUGAACGCAAUGCCAACGCUGCCCCCGCAACGGUAAGCACAUUUACAUUUUGUGCAAGCCCGGAACCGGCCUCUACUGAUUCACCCGA
rnacentral:ncRNA from 2 species